UACGAAGGGGGCUAGCGUUGUUCGGAAUUACUGGGCGUAAAGCGCACGUAGGCGGGUCCUUAAGUCAGGGGUGAAAUCCCGGAGCUCAACUCCGGAACUGCCUUUGAUACUGGGGAUCUUGAGUCCGGAAGAGGUGAGUGGAACUCCGAGUGUAGAGGUGAAAUUCGUAGAUAUUCGGAAGAACACCAGUGGCGAAGGCGGCUCACUGGUCCGGUACUGACGCUGAGGUGCGAAAGCGUGGGGAGCAAACAGG
rnacentral:rRNA from 1 species